UUCCUCACCGACGUCGAUCGGAGAGAUGCAAUCCCUGAGGACUCCAUCAGAACCGAUGCGAACGUCGUUCGCACGUAGCGUCGAACGCGCGGGGCAAAUAGAGGCCGGGACCUCAUGCCCACUGUAUGUUCCGCAUCCGAGUGAUCGAGCAUCACGCCAUGGGUGGACGGCCCGUGCGCAUGUCAGUAGCCGCACGAGAGCCAACCACGACGCUUGCUGUGUGUUUCGCUCCGCACAACAACACCUACCGGUGCUGCAGCGCAGUACGAAAAAUGUACAGUAUGGUCUUCGCAAUGCCUACACGACAGGUAUUGAGCACAGGAUACCGGCACCGGACGGGGCUUGAGAGCGCCCGUGCCGAGGAUUGAGGAGGCAAGGU
rnacentral:misc_RNA from 1 species